GCAGUAGCCGCGGUAAUACGAAGGGGGCUAGCGUUGCUCGGAAUGACUGGGCGUAAAGGGCGCGUAGGCGGCGAUCAAAGUCAGGCGUGAAAUUCCUGGGCUCAACCUGGGGGCUGCGUUUGAUACUUGAUUGCUAGAGUGGGGAAGAGGGUCGUGGAAUUCCCAGUGUAGAGGUGAAAUUCGUAGAUAUUGGGAAGAACACCGGUGGCGAAGGCGGCGACCUGGUCCUUGACUGACGCUGAGGCGCGAAAGCGUGGGGAGCAAACAGGAUUAGAUACCCCCGUAGUCCCUGUCUCUUAUAA
rnacentral:rRNA from 1 species